AACUUUAUAACUGCUUUUAUUUAAUUUAACUGCUUUUAGAAUUUAUGGAAUUAUUUCUUGAUCGAGUUACGAUUGUCCUACACUUGCCAUUUUGGAACACACUGCAAACCGCGCUACAUGAAAUGCAUGCGUGAUUCGCGAUACUUUUAUUUUAUUAUUAUUCAAAGUUAUUAUGAUCGGGUCACAUAAAAUGCACACACAAAUUAGGGAUAUGUACCAUGACUAUGCCACAU
rnacentral:lncRNA from 1 species